ACGCAUCCUUUGCUGAGGAUACGGUUAACGGAGCGAAAGCGACGUUCAACCGCAAAAGAAGCAGAGGGGGCUUAGUGGUGGGGUGACUGCGUACCUUUUGUAUAAUGGGUCAGCGACUUAUAUUCUGUAGCAAGGUUAACCGAAUAGGGGAGCCGGAGGGAAACCGAGUCUUAACCGGGCGUUAAGUUGCAGGGUAUAGACCCGAAACCCGGUGAUCUAGCCAUGGGCAGGUUGAAGGUUGGGUAACACUAACUGGAGGACCGAACCGACUAAUGUUGAAAAAUUAGCGGAUGACCUGUGGCUGGGGGUGAAAGGCCAAUCAAACCGGGAGAUAGCUGGUUCUCCCCGAAAGCUAUUUAGGUAGCGCCUCGUGAAUUCAUCUCCGGGGGUAGAGCACUGUUUCGGCUAGGGGGCCAUCCCGGCUUACCAACCCGAUGCAAACUGCGAAUACCGGAGAAUGUUAUCACGGGAGACACACGGCGGGUGCUAACGUCCGUCGUGAAGAGGGAAACAACCCAGACCGCCAGCUAAGGUCCCAAAGUCAUGGUUAAGUGGGAAACGAUGUGGGAAGGCCCAGACAGCCAGGAUGUUGGCUUAGAAGCAGCCAUCAUUUAAAGAAAGCGUAAUAGCUCACUGGUCGAGUCGGCCUGCGCGGAAGAUGUAACGGGGCUAAACCAUGCACCGAAGCUGCGGCAGCGAACGUAUCACUUAAAGCGAUUCAGCGGGUUACGAUUGACGGAGCGAAGCGACGUCAAAGCGUAUACAAAGUCGAGUC
rnacentral:rRNA from 1 species